GACGAACGCUGGCGGCGUGCUUAACACAUGCAAGUCGAACGGAAAGGCCCUGCUUUUGUGGGGUGCUCGAGUGGCGAACGGGUGAGUAACACGUGAGUAACCUGCCCUUGACUUUGGGGUAACUUCUGGAAACUGGGGCUAAUACCGGAUAGGAGCUCCUGCUGCAUGGUGGGGGUUGGAAAGUUUCGGCGGUUGGGGAUGGACUCGCGGCUUAUCAGCUUGUUGGUGGGGUAGUGGCUUACCAAGGCUUUGACGGGUAGCCGGCCUGAGAGGGUGACCGGCCACAUUGGGACUGAGGUACGGCCCAGACUCCUACGGGAGGCAGCAGUGGGAAAUAUUGCACAAUGGGCGGAAGCCUGAUGCAGCAACGCCGCGUGCGGGAUGACGGCCUUCGGGUUGUAAACCGCUUUCGCCUGUGACGAAGCGUGAGUGACGGUAAUGGGUAAAGAAGCACCGGCUAACUACGUG
rnacentral:rRNA from 1 species